rnacentral:lncRNA from 1 species
AACAUUUGUUUUUCAUUACAAAUUUUAUUUAUUUCCUUUUGUAGUUGUUACUUUAUCAUAUGGUACAAAAAUCAUUCAAAACAAUCAAUUCGUGUUGGCCCCAGAUGACUUUCAAAAUGUAUACAUCAUUGAAAAAGUUCCAAAUUAUCUCCCUUUGGUGGAAAAAUGCCAUUUUUUGGCUCUAAAAUUGAAAUAUCUUUUUCAACUCAUCGGUGACCUAUCUUUUUUAAUAUAAUUUCCAUAUAAGCUGUACUUAAACUAAAUUUUUGUAAAAUUUUAGCGAUUUCUGUAAUAAAUUUCUUUUUUUUAUUUCGAUAUUACCUUUAUUUCUCCUAUUCCUUCAACAGAAAAAAAACACCUUUACAAAAAUGUAUGCUUCUUUCGAAGGCAGAUUGUGAGCGCAAAUGAACGGUGACCCC